rnacentral:lncRNA from 1 species
CUAGUAACCUGGAAAAUUUUCUGGAAAAUAUGGGCAUAGAGCUCACAGAAGAUAAAGGCAUGGAACUAUUGAACAAUCUUCCAGUUGAUGCCAAAAGAAGAGUGUAUAUGAAUAGGUUGAUGAAAGAAUUGAGGUCUCUUGAAGGGACAAAGGUAUCUUCAGAUAAAGUGGACAUUUGCCUUAAAAACAUGGGAAUUGAACUCACAGAGGAAGAAAUCCAGGAACUAAAGGACCACCUACCAGUUGAUGGUGAGAGUUUUGAUAUCAAUAUACCCCUUAGCAAAACUUUGGAUAUGAGGCCAGUGUCAGGGCUGGAA